AGGCUUUGAUCCUGGCUCAGGAUGAACGCUGGCGGUCUGCUUAACACAUGCAAGUCGAACGGGGUUCUUCGGAACCUAGUGGCGGACGGGUGAGUAACGCGUGAGAAUCUGCCCUUAGGAGGGGGAUAACGACUGGAAACGGUCGCUAAUACCCCAUAUGCCGAGAGGUGAAACGGUGAAUUCCGCCUGAGGAUGAGCUCGCGUCUGAUUAGCUAGUUGGUGGGGUAAGAGCCUACCAAGGCGACGAUCAGUAGCUGGUCUGAGAGGAUGACCAGCCACACUGGGACUGAGACACGGCCCAGACUCCUACGGGAGGCAGCAGUGGGGAAUUUUCCGCAAUGGGCGCAAGCCUGACGGAGCAAGACCGCGUGGGGGAAGACGGUUUGUGGAUUGUAAACCCCUUUUGACCGGGAAGAAGCCUGACGGUACCGUUCGAAUCAGCCUCGGCUA
rnacentral:rRNA from 1 species